GUAAGAGGUCUAUAAGUGGGGGUUGUUGAAGAUGACAUUAAAGAAGUGGUGGAGACCGGACCUGCCCUCAUGACUCCCAUGUAUUAUUUUAUUAGGCGCUCUCUCUCCGCUGCGGGCGUGCCUCCUCGCGCCUGCAGACAAUCUGCAAGCGGCGCACCUGCCCGUGAUGAACGAGCUGCCUUCAUAAGCCUGCUCAACCUGCCAUCCCGCGCCGGAAUAUAAUCUUCUGUUGGCGUACAACCUCCGUUCCCGUGUUUGACGUUGCUGUGUGCCUCGUCAUUCCUCGUCGUCGUUCCCCUGUUUCCCAGACUGCCUUUUCAAUCUCGACCUCCCACUUGGACCCAGAUCUCUUGACGCCUCUCUCUCGCCCUGGAUCAUCUGCCUGCCCAACGGACUGUCUUCCUGCCUCCUCUCGCCCAACACAACACUAGGUAACACACACUACAGCUAAUCACACACAUAGCCACAUACACUUUUGGAUCUAGUUCACACUCCAUUUCCUUAGUUUAUAUUACUAUUGUUUGAUUAUUAUAUAUAUGGUUAAUAUAUAUAAUAAAUACAUAGAGCUAAACAACCCCUGGUGUCUGUUGCCGUCACCUCCCUUCAGUAAACAUAACAGAAUUGUCCAAAAUGU